GACGAACGCUGGCGGCGUGCUUAACACAUGCAAGUCGAACGGAAAGGCCCUUCUUUUGUGGGGUGCUCGAGUGGCGAACGGGUGAGUAACACGUGAGUAACCUGCCCUUGACUUUGGGAUAACUUCAGGUAACUGGGGCUAAUACCGGAUAUGAGCUCCUGCUGCAUGGUGGGGGUUGGAAAGAUUCGGCGGUUGGGGAUGGACUCGCGGCUUAUCAGCUUGUUGGUGGGGUAGUGGCUUACCAAGGCUUUGACGGGUAGCCGGCCUGAGAGGGUGACCGGCCACAUUGGGACUGAGAUACGGCCCAGACUCCUACGGGAGGCAGCAGUGGGGAAUAUUGCACAAUGGGCGGAAGCCUGAUGCAGCAACGCCGCGUGCGGGAUGACGGCCUUCGGGUUGUAAACCGCUUUCGCCUGUGACGAAGCGUGAGUGACGGUAAUGGGUAAAGAAGCACCGGCUAACUACGUG
rnacentral:rRNA from 1 species